CGUCAUUUAAUGCAUGUUGUUUGGUUGCCAUAGUGAUGCCUUGAUGCUAAAAUGACAUCACAGCAUUUAAACAUGUUUUGGAUGAAAAUAUCAGCAUAUGAAAACAGAACUGAAGAGACACUGCAACCAAAGCAGACGACUAGUGAAAUUUCUACGUUUCCCUGAGGAUUAACUGCUCUGCAAUUUACCAAGAACUAAAUCAAAAUGAAUGGAAGAGGAGAUGAAUCACAAAAUAACCGUAAUGGCCGACGGGUUAACCCAGAAAAUCAUCCAAGUGGAGAUCAGCAACCAGCUUAUGAACCAGCUUAUGAACCAGUUUAUGAACCUAUUGGUGGAUUCUGGGGUUUACUGAACAGUCUUUAUCAUGCUCUCUAUAAUAUAAUUUUUUGGAGGCUGAUUGAGCUGUUAGAUGAAUUAGAGGAACAAUAUGAUGUCUUUCAUAUUGACAAUGUCAAUGACGGCAAUGUUAACAAUGUAAACAUUGCCGACAUUGAAAAUGAUGAUUCUGAUGAGGCAUUUGAAGACUGUGAGGAUGUUCACCAGUACAUCCCAGAAGAGGAUCCUCAGCCAGGUGUAUCCAGGAGGAGGCCUAGAGAGAUGGAUGAAGAAGAUGUGGAACCAAACAAAAGAUUCAGAUGGAGCGAGGAGUUUUCUGAUGAUGACUCUGACUUCAUCUCUGCCUGUGACACUGAUAGCGAGGGCUGUCCUCAUGCUGGUAAUAUUGCUGAUGAGGACAUCAAUCAGCAGGUAACAGAAGAAGAACAGCUGCCUGUUGGAUCCACGAAAAGGUCCAGAGAGGAAGAUGGAGAUGAAGAAGAGCCUAAUAGCAAAAAGUCCAGGCUUGCAAACUCCGAGAGCAGUAGUGAUGAACUUUUUGAAGACGCACUUGAAGAGCUUGACAACCAUGAAACUGGAGGCUCGAGGAAGCGGUCCCGAGAGGAUUUUGAGGAAGAAGAGGAAAACUCGCGUGUUUGCAAAUAUCGGAGGUGUUCAGAUGAGUCCACCAGCACCAGUGAUGACAACUAACGCUAUUCCGACGGCGUUUUCAGUAUCCUUUUAAUAGGCUGAUAGCUUUCUCAUGUGACCCUGAAUCCUCCUUGCAGGCUGCAAUAAGCUGGGCAUACACUGUGCGAUUUCUUCAGUCGCGUUAUUCAGCUCCUGCUCAAACUGUCCGAUUGACUGGCAGGGGCUAGAAGUUCGUAGGUCACGAUGCAGGGUCUCACACUAUACGGCCCGAUGCUCUGUGCGACCCGAGUGCUCACACUGUGCGUCCAUAGCAUGAAGGUUAAAACACAAAAUCUUACACUAUUUUCACGGUUGUUGCGGUCGCGAUAAUUUUGUGAGGUCACGUCGAAAAGGCUCGGAUGACCUUGCCAAAGUUCUACAAGUCGUGCCUCCAUCGCUUGUGUCCGGAUCACACGUCGCACUGCCGUGCUGUUCCGUCUUUUCGCUUUUAUUUCUGUGUUUGCUCGUGCGCAGUGUGAGACGCUGCGUUGACACCCUCACGAUCGCAGACAGGAUUUCAAACAGGUUUGAUUUCCUUACGACCAAACGCUUGAUGAUCGGGAGCCGGUCGUGAGGUGUUAAUCGCUUCUCGUUACCCCAUGUAUACGAUGCACGACACGUGAUUAAGGCCAAACUCGGGCUGAUCCCCAAAACGGUCGCACGACUGAAAAAUCGGCUCAAAGUGGGCCAAAAAUCGCACAGUGUAUGCCCAGCAUUAGGCUGCCGGGGGAUUCCCAUCAUGCACUGGGUGUUUCUUCUUCACCCUCUAUGUGUUAAUAGACCUCUCUGUGCUGAAUCGUACUUGUUUUUAACCUCUGUCUCUCUUCCACAGCAUGUUUUUAUCCUGUUUUCCUUGCCCCUCCCCAACCGGUCGCAGCAGAUGGCCGCCCCUCCCUGAGCCUGGUUCUGCUGGAGGUUUCUUCCUGUUAAAAGGGAGUUUUUCCUUCCCACUGUCGCCAAAGUGCUUGCUCAUAGGGGGUCAUCUGAUUGUUGGGUUUUUCUUUGUAAGUAUACCUUACAAUAUAAAGCGCCUUGAGGAGACUGUUGCUGUGAUUUGGCGCUCUAUAAAUAAAAUUGAAUUGAAUUGAAAAUUGAAUGGAUGUCACUGUGUAGAGAUAUUCC
ensembl:lncRNA